rnacentral:misc_RNA from 1 species
UCAACCCUCAAGCCUACGGUUUGGUGUUGGAGACUAGUCCUGGCCCUUGGCAGGACUGCUCCCAAAGACAAUGACGGCAGUCACGAGCGCUCCCGGUACACUGAGCUUUUAACCAAGCACGUGCUGGACGAGCCUCGCGGCUACGGCCUACUCCCCUUACAGGGAUACAUUAAAA